AACGAACGCUGGCGGCAGGCCUAACACAUGCAAGUCGAACGCCCCGCAAGGGGGAGUGGCAGACGGGUGAGUAACACGUGGGAACGUACCCUUCGGUUCGGGAUAACUCAGGGAAACUUGAGCUAAUACCGGAUACGUCCGAGAGGAGAAAGAUUUAUCGCCGAGGGAUCGGCCCGCGUCUGAUUAGCUUGUUGGUGAGGUAACGGCUCACCAAGGCGACGAUCAGUAGCUGGUCUGAGAGGAUGAUCAGCCACAUUGGGACUGAGACACGGCCCAAACUCCUACGGGAGGC
rnacentral:rRNA from 1 species